GACUUUAGGAAUCCUACUCUAAGUAGGACUCUAAUUUAAUUUGAAGUCCUAAUCUAAUUAGGAUUCUAGGAGUCCUACUACAAGUAGGACUCUUAUUAAAUAAGAUCAAGCUCAAUUAAUUAGGUUCAAUUGAUUCAAUUAAAUUGCAAUCAAAUUGUAAUUAUUCCUUCUUCUACUCACUAAGAGUUAGUGAGUUAAAGAGUUAGUGAGUUAAAACAAUUAUCAAUUAAAUUGAUAAUAAUGAACUAUUAUGAUUCUAAAUCAUAAUUCAACCAUUAGAUCGGUCAAUACCUCUAAUGUGUGUGACCCCAUAGAUUCUAUUCUGUCUGGUAGUGAGAAAUAUCAUGAUCCUUAUCACAAUAUCAUUAAUACUCCUUUCAAUGGGUUGGAACAAUUCCAACUCUUCUCAUUCGGGUUCGCUGAUCACCAAGUGAACGCCUUUGAGUCUCACGAUUCACCAGUGACACCUAACAGCAUGUAGUGGCAACUCAGCAGAAUGGAAUGAUGAACCUCUAGGUGCAAUUAUCGUAUGAUACAGUCCCUCUAUCGUGGAUCCUGACAAGAUGGAGGUCAUGGAUAACUCGUCAAAUUCCAUCGUCUGUCAUAUAUCAAGAUUUAUUCGACUUAAGUUCGAAAUUGGAAAACUCUUUUUCCAAAAACUAUCUUGGCCAAGGAUUUACGAACUCAGUCUCAUAAAUCACAUAGGAUCUCUCCUAAUCUAUCAAGGCCGAUAGAUUCUAUCUAAAUGCAUUCCUACUGCUACAAUGAACCUACUGCAGCCAAUCUGCACCACAAGGACCCAAAUGGAUAGGGCCCAUGUUUAUGUGCUCGUCAAACUA
rnacentral:lncRNA from 1 species